AACGAACGCUGGCGGCAUGCCUAACACAUGCAAGUCGAACGAGACCUUCGGGUCUAGUGGCGCACGGGUGCGUAACGCGUGGGAACCUGCCCUUAGGUUCGGAAUAACUCCCCGAAAGGGGUGCUAAUACCGGAUAAUGUCUUCGGACCAAAGAUUUAUCGCCUUUGGAUGGGCCCGCGUUGGAUUAGCUAGUUGGUAGGGUAAAAGCCUACCAAGGCGACGAUCCAUAGCUGGUCUGAGAGGAUGAUCAGCCACACUGGGACUGAGACACGGCCCAGACUCCUACGGGAGGCAGCAGUGGGGAAUAUUGGAUAAUGGGCGAAAGCCUGAUCCAGCAAUGCCGCGUGAGUGAUGAAGGCCUUAGGGUUGUAAAGCUCUUUUACCCGGGAUGAUAAUGACAGUACCGGGAGAAUAAGCUACGGCUAACUCCGUG
rnacentral:rRNA from 1 species